CCCGGCUGCCCCCGCCAAUCGCCGGCAAAGGUGUGUGAGGCGGCGGCCAAUGGGCGCCCAGCCCCUGCGCGUGAUCGGCGGCUGCCCCGCGGCGUGGCCAGAGUGUCAGCGCGGCGUGCGCGCGCUGGGACAGUUUUAACUAUUGGAAAACAGCUCCAUCCUGCUCUCUGUGGUCAGGAUCAUGCGCUUACCAGGAACUGUCUUCAAAGCCCUUCCAAAAAAGAGCAUUUCCAGCAUCCAUGUGAGUGUGGGUGGAAGAGAAAGCAGCAAAUGAAGGUCAGGACGUUCUUGUACCCACAAAAGGCUUAGUCAGAUAAGGUGCAGGACAGCCUGAGAACCACGGCAAAAGGACCUGUUGGAAAUCUAUUGCAAAACUCCGCAAUCUCUAAUUAGAAAUAAAUAAAAAGGCACAAAAGAGAGACUCAUUCAAUAGGUCUAUCUCUGCUCAUCCUGUCUGUCAAUUUAUGGCCAACACAGAAAUUUUACAUGAAUUAUGAACAAGGUACCAAGCCAAAGACUAGGUUUUCAUCUGGAGCGUUACAGUUCUGCUCCUUGCUUUUCUCAGUUUGCUCAACUAGCCAAGAGAGCCGAUUGCAGAAGCUGAAUAUUUUGAUUUCCUUGAAAAAAAUUGACUCUGCUUCAUGCUGAAACAAUGUCUUCUCACUUGCUGUCAGGGCCUUCAGCUAGCGCGAGCUUAGCUUAUUCCAGACCAGGCUGCUUUGUCUGUCAUGGCACGUGUCCUCAGCUUCACCCAUCCAUUGCAUGCCUUAUCUGAAACCCUGCUCCUGGGACCUGUCGUCAUUUGUUCAAAAUUAAAAAUGAGACAAAUAACCUUAGAUCUCUUUUGAGUGCCUAAGUGGUGAGAAGCUGGGAACUGUUCUGGAUAAAGAAAUGACUAGUUUAUCGAGUGCCUGUCACAGGGACAUGCCACAGAAGUGUCCCAAAGCCCAGCAUUACGUGUGUGUGUAGAACACAGGUAUGAACAGAGACCUGGCAAGAUAACAUGUUUUAAGGUGAAGUUGCUACAGUGUGAGACAAACCCCAGAAGCUUGAAGGGACAAUGUCAAUCUGAAUUUGUGGGGAUCUUAAGUAGCCGCUGGAAAGGCAGGAAGAGUUCACCCACAGCAGGCAGAUGUGGUCAUAGGGGACCCGGCAGGUGAAGCGAGCCCAGCCACCCUCUCUCAUGCCCUGCUGGUGCCAAGGGCAGCAUGGGGGGCUCAGCCCACCGCAGGAGAGGCUGCGGCGUGGCAGGGAGCACCGGUGGCCCCAUGUCCCCUCUCUCCUCUGCCCCCCUGCCCCACUGCCCGUGGCCUGUCCGGAGUUGUCUCCUGCAGCCUCAGCCUGGUCCUGGCGAGUGCACGGCCUGGCUGGCGGCUGCAGAGGAUGCCAGACGUGCUGCUGAGCUGCAGGGCUCCAGCAUGCAGGCCAAAUCUGUUCCUGCACACGCGGGCUUGUGGACAUCGUCUAGUGUGGGUGUGUGAUAGGGACACUUGGCAGGUGAGACAGUUACCUCCUCCCAAACUUCUCUAACUCCGGCAUCCUCUGGUGUUUUAUGCUGGGACAGGAGUUUGUUCCUGCCUAAGCUGCAUCCAGCGCAACCAGUCUGCAGGUUUAAUGGAGGUUUGAUGUCAGAGAAACUCCCCACUCUGAGCGGGGGGCGUGGAUUGCAUUGUGGUUGCCAGUGCCUGCGUGGACAAGGAGCCGCUUUGUGUGGCUGCUCAGGGCUGGUCCCAGCGCCGCAGCCCCGCCUGCCUGCAGCCAGGUGAGCAGCACCAGCAGGUUGAGUCCUGAGCACCGAGGUCCGGAGCCAGACCUGUGCGUGGGCAGUGGGCAGCAAGGGUACCCUUGGGCUUUGUGUGCCUGCCCUUUCAUAGCUGGGCUGUGGAUGACUCCUCUUAGCUUACUAACAGCCUUGUUUGAGGUCCGAGGUGGUCGGGCCCCACAGAAACGCCCGAGCAGGUGACAGCAGUUGCACCCCAGCUGUGCUGGUGGAGCGGCAGCGGCUCGCGGAGGAACAACGUGAAGUGUGUCACCGGCAUUGCUGCACCCGCGCUGUGGACGCUGCCAGCCCGGCCCUGCUGACGGCACAGGCAGUGAGCUCCAGCCUUGAAGCUGCGCCAGGGCAGCUCUCCUCGAGCUGGGCAGCCUGCGGGACAGCGACAGCGACAGCGACAGCGACAGCGAGGAAGGCAGAGGAGCAGGUGGCUGUGAGCACCUCAGGGCAAGGGCAGCUGGAGAGGGAGGUGUUUUUGCUCCUCGGCCUUGCCCGCAAUGCCAGUGUGCCAGGGCUACCCACUUUGGGACGUAGAGCUGGCUGGCAACUUGCUGUUGAAGCAUUCCUUGUUGAAAAACAGUAAGAAUUUGUUGAAAAUCUAAACUUUCAAUGGGAUGUCCAUGUGGAUGUGGGAGACCAAGUGUGUCCCAGAGUCUGCCUCCCAUGUCUGUCUCCCUCUGGCUGGUACCAGCAUGGGUAGGUCAGUCCUCAUCCCCACACAGAACAGGAAGGUUUUGGACCCUCAGACACUUUGCAAGAGAAAUGGCUUUUCCAGGCAGCCCUGUCCAUGCCGACUGCGAGCGCCACUCCAGCCGGGUGAGCCAGCACUGCUCAGGCACAGCUCAAGCUGAGAGAAGGGUUUGUGAUCUGGUGUCACAGGAUCACGGCGUAAUUCAGAGGAGAAAAGCCCCUGGGACGUUUCCAAUCCAGCUGACGGCUCAGAGAAGGGUCAGUCAUAAGGUCAGACCAGGCUGCCCAGCGCUUCAUCAUGUUGGGGCUGGAAAAACCUCUGGGGAUGGCGACCAGUAGCCACAUGGGACACUGGCUGUGAUGGCCAACACAUCCAGGCUGCUCCUCUUGUCUGAAUUUCCAGAGCUAUUUAGGGAGAGGGUUAAAAUGUCAGGUGGAGGUUCCAGUCUGUGUAAGCAGCAGGGUGUGAGUCUGCAGGCACACAGCCUGCACCCUGGCUCCGCCGGCCUCACCGCCCGCCCGGCACCGUGUCCUUCGCAACGCGGCUGCCGGGCGCCAACGCGCACGGUCGGUGCCGAGUGCCGGGGCCGGGCUGGGAGCAGCGGACGCGCGGAGAGCCGGCGGGACGGGCAGCCUGGGGAGGGGCGGAACGGGAGAGCCUUCCCGCCCGCCCCCGCCGCGCCUGUCCCGGCCGGCUGCCCGCGGCUCCCUGGAGGCAGGGCGGGCGGGUGGAGCUCCCUGCCGGCCGUGGCUGCCGCCGGCCCCGGCUCCUGUCCCGCUCCAUCCGCGGCUCCCGCCGGCCCCGGCCCCGGCCCCGGCCCCGGCCCCGGCCCCGGCCCCGGCCCCGGCUCCUGCCCCGCUCCAUCCGCGGCUCCCGCCGGCCCCGGCCCCGGCCCCGCUCCGCUCCAUCCGCGGCUCCCGCCGGCCCCGGCUCCCCGGCGGUUCGCCCCGGGAGCUGCCGAACUCCAUCAUCGGGUUGAAAAAGCGGGGAUCUACCGGGAGGGCCGUCUCAGACCACAGCACUGGAUGUAUCACUUCUGCCCUUUGCCACCUCUGCGUUCACCAGACUGGGCACAGACAUGGCUGCAGGAGUGACCUCAGGGUGCAUUCCUGCUGCUGAGACCUGAAACAUCAGCUCCCCACUGCUGUCACCACCUUAACAGCAGGCUUUUCCAUGUCAGAAGUGUGAUAAACUUGUGACACAAGUAUCUGAGUGCUUUUCUUAAUUGCAUUAAUUUGUUAAAUUAAUACAAUAAAUUUAAUUUUAUUUCUUAA